AAUUAGUUUACAUCUGCUGCUCAAACUGUUGAGAUCAGACUGAAAUCAUCAGAGAACUUGUUUAAAAUAAACUUCAGCUGACUGUAUCUGGUGUCACACACAUCUUCAGCUUUAACAGAAUAACCAGCAGAGGGCAAUACAGACCGAUCAUACUCUCCUUUAGUUAGAGGAGCCAACCACUUCCUCUGUGAUGCUUUCAGUUUUGUUUUUACUCACAUCUCGGCAAAACGCGCAGUGGUUUACUAAAUUUAAACAGACAGAAUGUAGAACUCCCGCAGAACGUUUACAAUGUUCAGAUGCUUCAAUCUUCUUCUGCUGCUGUUUUGUCUCGUCUAUCACAGCGUUCAUGUAACAGCACGGGUCGGUGAAGAAGUGAUGUUUGAUGAUCUGCCGCGUGAUGCUGAGAGCGUUGAGUGUUUAACAAACACCGGCUCGAUAGAUGUGUGGAGGAGAGAGCAGGGUGUCCUGACUGAUCGACUGACUGACAAUGAUGGUCACCUGAUCAUUAAAAACUUCAGAUCAAGUGACGCUGGAACAUACAGAGUCCUGGACUCAACAGGAGGAGUCCUGGUCACCGUGACGCUCACAGAAUGGGGUACAGAAUCAAAGGACAAACAGGACAGCACACGUGAUGACAAAACUGAAAGCACUAAAAGAGUUUGUAAGUAAAACAGGAGACAUUGAGAGCUUUAUGAAAUCUUUAAACAGUGAGUUAAAAAAAUAAAAAUUGUGUUUUCUUCCCCCUUCCA
ensembl:lncRNA